rnacentral:rRNA from 1 species
CGUCCAGGGGUAAACCUGCGAAACUCGAAUGAACGAACGGAGAGAUUCAUCGUCAUUCCGAUGGAGCCGCGACGGAGGGCCGAUGCGGCGGCGUGCGUGCGUUCGCGCGCGUUACGUCGUCGCACGACCUCCGCCCGCGUGCGACCUCGGACGGCGUGCACUUCUCUCUUAGUAAGACAUCGCGACCCGUUCGGCGUCGGCCUAAGCGCCGCACUUGAGUUCUUCGGCACUUCGCUGCCGCAAGACGGAGGCGGCCGGCCGGCCGGCAGCCGGACGGUAUAGUAUCGGAUACGCGCACGCGCUUCAGGCGCGUCCGGCCCGACGCAAGGUCGCGUCGUAUCCGGAGUCCUGCCCUAGCGCGGUCUCCGGUGCGGGGCGCCUGUUUGUCGCAGCCGUGCUGUUCUCGGACCGUGCGCGUCUCGGUCGGCGAUGAUUAAGUUUCGGGCACUCGCACCAAGGAGUCUAGCAUGUGUGCGAGUCAUUAAGAUUUAUAAAACUGAAAGGCGUAACGAAAGUGAAGGCGCGCGCUCGCCGCGCGCUCGGGGAGGAUGGUGGUCGACGUCAGUUUGCCGCCCGCACUCCCGAGGCGUCUCGUUCGCAAUCUGUCGAUGUAGGCGCGCUCAGAGCACAAAUGCUGGGACCCGAAAGAUGGUGAACUAUGCCUGGUCAGGUCGAAGUCAGGGGAAACCCUGAUGGAGGACCGUAGCGAUUCUGACGUGCAAAUCGAUCGUCGGAACUGGGUAUAGGGGCGAAAGACUAAUCGAACCAUC